ACUUGUGCUCUCCCGAUAUUGAUGGCAAGUCCAAACUGAUAUAACCUAUCCUGCUGGUUUUACGGAUGUCAUCAGCAUUGACAAGACUGGGGAGAGUUUCCAUAUGAUCUGUGACACCAAGGGUCACUUUGCUGUUUGUUGGAUUACACCUCAGGAGGCCAAGUGUAAGUUUUGCAAAGUGAGAAAGAUCUUUGUGGGGACAAAAGGAAUCCCUCAUCCAGUAACCCAUGAUGCUCUCACCAUCCUUUAAA